AAAGCAGCAGAGGAAUUCAGAAGAAGAAAACAAAACAAAACAGAGUUGUCUAUUUUCCCCUGUUUUUGUCUUCUUCUUGGUUGCUAAGAAAAUCUCUAAUAUUUGUUUGUUUCUUUUUGUAAAAUGUUGAUUUUGGUUUUGGUGUAUUUUGAUCGUUGAAAACAUGUCCGAGUUACUUGGAGUCCCAUAUAUGAUGUGUACUGUUCCCGCGACUUUCGUUGUAUAUUACAUUUUUUAAUAGUAUUUGUUUAUUUAACCAUAUAGUAUUUAUGUUAUGGCCUUCACGUUGUCAAAAUAUCCACGUAUCUGGAGAUUUCCUCAGCACUAAUUAUUAAAUGUGUAAUAAGGUGGGAUGAUCAAAAUUUUAGUGACGC